rnacentral:piRNA from 1 species
UGUUCAGUUCUUGAAACCUUCCGGUAAGCCA